AUGUUUCCUGUAGCUCUGCUGCUGCUGCUGUUGGCAGCUGGAUCCUGUGUGAAGUGUCAAACAUUGACACAGCCAGCGUCUGUGACUGUGCAGCCAGGUCAACGUCUGACCAUCACCUGUCAGGUCUCUUAUUCUGUUAGUGGCUAUCACACAGCUUGGAUCAGGCAGCCUGCAGGGAAAGGACUGGAGUGGAUUGGAAUGGGACGACGUGGAUCCACCACAAACUACAAAGAUUCACUGAAGAACAAAUUCAGUAUUGACUUAGACACUUCCAGCAACACAGUGACUCUGAAUGGACAGAAUAUGCAGCCUGAAGACACUGCAGUGUAUUACUGUGCCAGAGACACAAUGAUACAAACCAUCAGAUCAAGCAAUAGCAUCAAUAGUUGA